CUCCCAGCACUAACUCGGAGGCCUGAGGAUUUGUGAAUCGCUGCCCCUCCCCCCACGCAGGGGAGCCCCUAAACGCUGCUGGCCGUUUGCAAAGGGCUGUGCAUAUGUGUGUCUGUUUAAUUGCAGGUUUAUUUCUUCUCACCCUGUGAGUCUGUCUGUCUGCAACUCGGAUUAUUGCUCUCUGGGAAGCUGUAGCUGCCUGAUUCCGUGGGAGACCAAGCAGGAUGCGUGGGCUCAGGAAACAGAAAAGGGAAAAGAAGCGGGGGGGAGGGAGAAGAAAGGGAGCAGAGGAGAGAGCGGGAGCCGUAGAAUCUGUUAUUUGCGUCACUCGAGGAGCCGGGGCUAUCUGCCCGACAAACACACAGAAUUAAUCCGAGUUAUAGCCAUAGCUGUCUCUGCUACAGUGGCCAGUCGCGAAAGGGCGGGGAAAGGACGUUCGCCCCAGUCUGUGCGGAGCCGAGUUGGCACUGGGCGGCAGAAGGCGUCUGGGGAGGGGGCUGCCCUGCUGGACACGCCCUCGGGGCCCCGCACGCCCGGUGCAGACGAGGCUGCAGCCUCCUCUGCAGCUGCCCAGCCCAAGCCUGGGGUGGCGCCCGCCUUGGUCGCCUCGCCUGCUCAGUGGCUGCGCCGAACACAAAGCGCUGUCUCUGAGCAGAAGCCUCUUCUCGGCUGAACCAGACCCACCAAAGAGGAGAAUCUGCACGUGACGUCAGUAGCUGAUGACUGACGCAGGCUGGCAAAGGAGACUCAAGGCGGCUGCUCCGCGCUGCCUUCAUGAGUCUAUUUUCUCCAACCCCGUCGUAGUGAAUUACUAGAACGAAAAAUACACACAUAUGCAGCUUUCAAAAUAUACAUUUCCAAAGGCGAUGUGUUGCAAACACAGCGCGAUUUUGCAAAGCAUGGGUGGGAAACGUGGGAAGGGUACAGAAGACUUUUUUUUUCCCCUCAUUUGAGAAUCUCCACCGUGGAUGGCAUUAGACUCUAGAGCUUUCCUGAGAAGCUCCUCUGGGGAAGGGGCCUAAGCACUCUGCUUUUCCCCAGCAUGUAAGGAAUCUGGUCAAUGGAGACAUGCAGCUCUAAAAGAAUACAACCACUCCACAGCCUUCUGCUCGGGGAGACUGCGAGGAGCUUGCAACAGGCAGAGGCAGACGGGAGUUAAUGGGAGGGAGGGAGAAUAUAAGAAAUAUUUGGGUAUGUUUCUGCUUUGAAAAACAUCAUCUGCUGUAACGCAAGUGAGUCUGGUGGUGCAGGAAAAAGUGGGGAGGGGGCGCUUAAUGCACAUUUAAUGUUUUGGACGUAACGUUCCAGCGAAAUGCCUUUGUGUGUGGAGGUUUUUUCAGUACUUGCUAAAAAUAGCAUCAGGGUUUGAUCGUGUUCCAGAAAUAGACCGAGGGCUGCACUGGGAUAAAAAGCCGGCGCGGGUGGAAGAAAACCUGGACAUCACCGCAUUCCCCCCGCCCCCCAACUAUGUCUGGAAAUUAAUUGUUGGAUUUUUCCUCUCCUGUCUCCCUCUCUCUCUCCACUUUCUCUUCCCUCCCCCUAUGUUUCUCUUUCUCUCUCUUAAGGAGUUCCCGUUUGGGUGGUCAAACCUGUCUUAACAGCUGGAGCUCUGCAUGAGGGUGGCCACUGCAGGAGGGGGUCUCAGAGACCACAGGAGCUGAAGAGUCUUUACCGGUGAGCCCUGGAGUCCCAGGAACUUGGUUUCCUAAAAUGGAAAGGAAGUUUGGGCGAGAGUUUGGCAGUGCCGAUGGUUCCAGCGAAUGAAGAAUCCAUUUGCAGCUGGUGUUGAAAGUGGAAAAUGCCAGAAGGUUUAUCUCCUGAAGAAUCUGUGAGAUCCUUUUAAAGGUGAAACUUUUCAUCUUUAGAAUUAAACACCUUCUCCACUGAACUUGAAGGAGAGAUUAAGUGCAAUGUUUUGAGCUACGUUCAAAAGAAGAUGAGACAGAAGGAGACAGAACUGUUAAAAAUAUGUAAGUUUUAUUAUACAGCCAAAUGAAGGAUUCAGUGCUGUUGUAAUGGUAUUCUUAAAAAUCUCCAGCUUUAUGAAAUCCCUUAAUUAUGGAAUUUUCUUUCAUUAUAUUGAACUACUUGCUGAUUUCCUCAUGAAUAUCUGAUCUGAAACUUAAUUUACAAAAAUACUGAAAAUGAAUUUAAAAUUAAAUGGGAACAUUUGUAUACUAAUAUGACACAAUAUUGUUGAUUCACAUUUUUUC